rnacentral:tRNA from 1 species
CAAGGAAUAGUUUAAUUAGAAUCCUAGCUUUGGGAGUUAGGGGGAGUUAAAACCUCUUUUCUUUGA